rnacentral:tRNA from 1 species
GCUCUGGUGGCCAAGUUGGUAAGGCGCAGCACUAGUACGAAAUGCUGAGACCCUCCGUUCAACUCCGAGUCAGAGCA